rnacentral:rRNA from 1 species
AUUGAACGCUGGCGGCAGGCCUAACACAUGCAAGUCGAGCGAGCGGCGGACGGGUGAGUAAUGUCUGGGAAACUGCCUGAUGGCGGGGGAUAACUACUGGAAACGGUAGCUAAUACCGCAUACCAUCAGAUGUGCCCAGAUGGGAUGAGCUAGUGGGUGGGGUAAUGGCGCACCUAGGCGACGCUCCCUAGCUGGUCUGAGAGGAUGACCAGCAAGUCUGGAACUGAGACACGGUCCAGACUCCUACGGGAGGCAGCAGGGGGGAAUAUUGCGCAAUGGGCGCAAGCCUGAUGCAGCCAGGCCGCGUGUGUGAAGAAGGCCUUCGGGUUGUAAAGCACUUUCAGCGGGGAGGCGUUACCCGCAGAAGAAGCACCGGCUAACUCCGUGCCAGCAGCCGCGGUAAUUC